GAGAUGAACCCUAGUUGACACAAUGAAGCUGUUGAUCAAAUCCUCAAAAGUGAAUAAAUUUACUACCAUAUGUUUGUGCAAAUGAUGGCUUACACUUGAUCUCUGAACUUCAGGUAAGUUCACAUGUUGACAAGUUUUUAUCACUGAUGCCCUACUCUUUGCGCUUCCUGUUUAUCUCAUUUUGUUUUUGGCGUCUCAUUUAUCUUUGCUUUCCAUCCUGAGUGAUGGUGUUAGAGGUCUCAUUGAGUGUUUUAAGAUCUUUUUUUUUUUUUUUUUUUUUUUGCCACAAUAAAGGCCUGUAACACAUGUUGUCAGUUUCAAUUGUCAAAAAUUAAUUGUAUUUUUUUUUUUUCUUAUGACAUGUGUUAAAGGUUUAGUGAUCACAAUUUUCAAUAAUUAAGGUUGGAUUCCAUGUCAUAAUUAAUCCAACUAGUAUAGUAUUAUUUGGGUCGUUCUUGUAAUGGGGGUGGCUAAACAAAAUCCUUUCUGGAGUCUUCCAUAUGAUAUUUGCUGUGAACAAGAAGGCCAAUAUGAAUUACAUUUUGGGUCAGAUCACUAUCUUUAAUGCCCCAAUUAUAUCUUGAAGUAUUAAGUAAUAACUAGUAACUGUAAACUUGAUAAACUUCAUAGUUCAAACAAACAAAAAUCUAGAAUCUUUUUCCAGUGGAUGGUAAGUGAUAAAUCUAUAAUUCUAUUUGUUGAAGAAAAAUUCUGAUUCAUUCACCACCUUAUAUUAUAUUUCAUGUAGAAGAAAAAUAUAAUCUCGCUCAAGGUGUUUUAUGAUCUGUUGUGUUCCUCAGUUGAGCAACAACUUUUUGUUUUAGUUAUCAUGUAAAUGGUGUUUUUUCUGACAAUUAUAAUACUGCAUUUAUAUCUCAAUGAGACCACUUAAGUCUGCUAUGUUUAAUUUUUAGCUAUAUUGUAUGAUUCUAUUUGUUGUCUUAUAUUGACACUGACCUACAUGGGAAAAAAAAAAGGAGAAGGUUCCAAACAAUUUAGAUGGACAAAACCAAUGGAGAGGAUGCUAUUGAAUAUGCAUGCCGAUGAGGUGAAUAACGGGAAUAAACCUAAUAACAGGUAUAAGUUAGUUCUUUUUAUCGAGUAGCAAAUGCAAUAAAUGAGCAUUUUGGAUUUGAAUGCUCGUCCGAUCAUGUAGAACACUGUCUUCGAACUGUAAAAAAUGUAUGGUCGACAAUAGACCAACUUUGUUGAAAAUCAGGAUUUGAAUGGGAUGAGAAUAUGAAGAUGGUAGUAGUUAAUCCAACUGUAUAUGAUGAACAUAUUCAGGUAUGCAUUUUUUCAUGAUCAGUGUUGUUAUUUUAAUGAAUAUGGAACUAUUAUAGUUUUUGAAAUUUUGUCACUCUCUUUUUUAAUCUAAAACAGAUGAAUCCUAGUCAUGAGAAGUACCUCAACAAAAAUAUUGAAAUGUAUGAUGAAAUCUCUCUAGUUGUCGGUAAGAAUAAAGCAAAAGGAAAUUUUAGUAAAUCAUCAAUGGAGGAAGAGAUAACGACACAUUUGGAAUAUACCGAUGGCUUGAGUCAGUACCUUUAGAUAAUGGCAUUAGCACUGAAGAAGCAUCAAUGGAGAAAGAGAUUGGUAAAAGAGUGAUCUCAUCAAGUGCAACGUCAUCCAAAUCAAGACAACAUGGCAAGAGAAGUCGCAUCUCGUAUGAGACAGAUCAACUUGAAAGCAUUUUGGCAAAACUUGGAGAGGUAGCUGCUGCCCUUAGUAAAUUGACUGAGGAUUGAGAGGAUCGAUUGGAUAUUAACAAGCUAUAUAAAGAGGGGAUGAAGACAAGUGGUUUUGGUUAGGAGUUUCUUGCCACAGCAUUUGAUUAUUUGGUGCAGCAUGCAAUGCUUGCAAAGGCAUUUCUUGUCAAAAAUUACAGGCAUCGAAAAUUUUGGCUUAAAAAUUUUCAAAAGCAAGGCCAUUAGUAUGGUGGGAUUUGGAGUAGGCGUUGGAUUGCUUUGAGAAGGAUCAGUGGGGUUUGGUAUAUUUGGAUUGUGAUUUUGCUAAUAUUUACUCUUUUAAAGAUACAAAAGAAGUUAGGGAGUUCUUGGAUUGCAUCAUUUCAGGUGGUGGAGAGGUUUUGCUUUUUUCAUGAAUGAUGAACAGGGAAGUUUCUUUUUUGGGUUGCGACUGCAUUAGGACUUCCAGAUAUGCAUAUUUCCAAGCUAGCAAUUGUAUCAUACAUACCAAUUUGAGCAGCAACUUUUUUUCAGAAUUUAGUUUGUUCUCUUUUGAAGGUGAGUGAUGGCAUUCUCUUGUUAGACUAAAAGAGUUACCAUGUAAAUUAGGAAGACAUGAAAGGAGAUAGUUGCGUAGAUGGUUGAUAUUGUGAUUGUACUAAGUUAAUAGAUGGUAAUGGUCAUGUAUGCAGUUUGAUUUUAGUGGUUAACAAACUCAUUUAAGUUGAGCUCUGGCAUGAUCUUGGGUUAUUCAUCUGUUACAAAGGCGUCCGGCCUAAGAAUCAUCUCACAAAAUGAAGAUCUGGUGGGCUACUUUUAUUUUUGGUAAA